GAGUAAAGACUGUUUACCAACGAAGUACACAAGCAGCCCUAUCUAAGAUCCAGGAAUUGGGGGUCCCUAGCUUUAAAUCGUGGGGUGCGCUGAUUGGGAUCAGCCUCAAGAUUUCAGCCUAGGCCUACCUAGGCGAUAACCUCUCAAAAACUGGAGCCAGUCUUCUGUCCAGGCCCAGGUUUGAGGCCGUGAUGACUCAACGCAGCAUCCCCUCCCCUUGCUAAACUGCGGUCUCCGCCUACCCCCAAUCAAUCUCAAGGAAGCACUUUGGGCUCCAGGAUUCCCGGCACUUAGCUGGUGGGUAAAGGGGCUCAUCCCCUUCCCCACAUCCCACCUUCCCUCCUCCCAGUCUUCGGGAGUGCGGAGCUCCUGCCGGGAUCCAAGAGCAGGCUCUUGGUAGUCGAAGAAGGAUAUAACCUCCAGACUUGGAGUUAAAGACGCAAGUACCAGCCAGCAAAUGUGGCAGCCGAGCACGCGAGGGAAGGUGAUAGCUGCUGAAGAAGUAUCCAGUUCUUUAUUCGGAGGCUAUGACACUUGAGAUUCUACUGAAAAGGAGUAGCCGAUGAAGAUGGGGAGUCAUAAAAAUGGAUGAGAAGUUACAACAUUACUUCUGCAGAUUCACAAAGGAGUCCACGUUCCAUGAUGAGAUAAAUACCAGUGAGUUAUGUUCCUGUCAGUUUAGAAGAGAUAAUGCUGAGAUUCCAAGGAUGCUUUCCAAACCAGGAAUGACGAGCAGAAUAUUUGACGCUAUUGUGUUAUUUACUAAUGUUGCCGCCUUACAGGAAGGCGAUGGCUAUUCUAUUUGACUGAAUGAGAAGAGAAGGAAGUCAUUUCCUGUCAAUCCUGCUUUGGUUUCCUGGGUAGUUUAAGAAGCAUCAUUGAUCUGAUCAUUGCCACUGAGGAGGAAAUACCCAUCCACUGAGGACACGCAGGGCUCAUCCCAGUUUGACAUGGGCAGUGAGUCCUUCCCGAUGUAGCCCUUUCUCUAAACUAACCCCUUACACACAUGUAAACUCUGCUCCUUUCUUUAAGUAGCCACAUUGGUGGUGCCUCUGUUGUCAGGUUACAGGGAAGAGUGACCAGAUAGUGGUGGGGAAAGCAUUUGGGAACGGGAUUUGUUUCUGCUUGUCUGGUAAUCUCUCAAAACAGGAGAUAUUUUUGUGGAAUAGAUGCAGUCGGCAGUUUCUUGGAUUUGGGGAGUUAAAAAUCAUGUUACA